rnacentral:lncRNA from 1 species
ACAUAAUAUAGCAAAAGUAGAUAACCAGAUAAAGAAAAUAAAUACAUAAUGAUCUGCAAAAUAAUCAUUUCAUGUGCUCUCAAAAAGUUACCCAUGCGAAGUCUGAACUCCUUGUAGACAAUCUUUGGAGCCAUCUGAAGGAGUGAUGCUUGUUGUAUUAUUUUCCAUAUUUGUGUGAGGGAGAGGCAUAUCUGAAUACACUGAUUCCUGUAUAUCAGCAAUUUUCUCUAGACUUUCUUCCCCAAAUAAUUACACGCUACCGUAUAAUGAGUUAGUUAUUAACCAAUUGCUAGAUGAAGUCAAAGGUUAAGAGUGAAGAAGGUCAUACGACAAAGAUGUCCGGACGUAAACAAGCAAUGCAACUAUGCUUGGGAUGUAAAAAAUUAAUAGGUAUUCUGAAAGCAUCAGCUUUAUCCAAUGUACAAUCCCAACAUCUUAUUUCCGGGAAAACAAAAAAUGGGAAGCACUUAAUUUAAGAAAAGCUUGCAUCUGUAAGAAACUUUCCUCGUAUAAUGAAACCAAUUUUUCAUUGAACAGGCUGCCAAGCUAAUAAAUUUUUAUUUCUUUCUUGGUGCCGUUCAUUUAAAGUUUUAACCAAUGUUAUGCGUGGAAACUAACAUUUAAUAAACUAUGACUGAGCGGGAAAAUGAAAAAACUCAAAUUUUAAAUACCACAAAACGAUUGCUCAGAUUUGCUGGCUAGAAAACUCAUUAUAUAAAUCUUGACACUGUGAUCUGUGGUAACUAACAUUUAAUAAAUGCAUGACUGCGCGGGGAAAUGAAAACUCAAAUUUUAAAUACCACAAACCGACGUCUAGUAUUGGUGGGCUCCACAACUCAUUAUAAAAAUUUAACACAAUGCAACGUAUGGAAACUAACAAUUAAUCCAUGACUGCACGACAAAAUGGAAAAACUAAUAUUCUAAAUACCAAAAAUCCACUUCUAGGAUUGGUUGGCCUCUGGAGACUAACAAUUAUUAAAAGCACGAUUUGAACGGCAGAAUGAUAAACUCAAAUUUCAAAUACCAAAUUGAGCACCCAUUCGGCCCCAUUUCUUAAUACUCAAUUUCAACCACACAUUUUAUGGGACUCACAACUUUUUAACCUCGUACUUCAUCAACUUUUAUCAAAAUCUACUAAAAAUCUAAUUUUUAUCCAAACCAAACAAGGGCUUAGCAAAAUUCAAAACUUUAUACAUGAAGUGCCCAAGAAAAAUAAACAAAACCCUUGUUUGACUUUGACUUUGAUUCUUUGAGAAUCACUAAUCUCUAACACUCAUUUUCAACCACACGUUCACCACAAAAAAAAAAAAAAGAACACUUUUCAAGGAAUCACUUCUCAACAAAUCUUAAGUAACAAGUGCUAAAUCUACAAGGGAUCCCAGCCUCAUUCCAAAUUCUUGUUCCACGUCUAGAAUUUGGGCACACAAAAUUUUCUCAAUACGAAAAAUUGAAAAUGUGUGUUGAAAGUACUAUAUUUAAAUAAGAAAUUUCAUCAACAAAAAUCAAGCAUUCUAGCUUAUGUUUUCUGUCAGUGUAAGGCUGCAAUCUGAUUACUGUUCAAUGAUAACUUCUUGAGCAUAUAAUAUUUAUGCUUAAAGUAAAAAGAGAAAUAUAUAUAUAUAUAUAUAU